AUGGAUCCAAGCAACAGUCUAACAACUUCAAAACUCCGAUGCAAUUUUGACGCAAGUCCGGUAAUCCUUAUCUCUCUCCCAUCACUUAUAUUCUUUCUUCUUCUUACUUCGUUUGCGUUUCUCCGGGACCUCUUCUUGCGUGUUUUCGAUAGCGAGCAAUUGUUGCUUAUGGAUUCGUCGCAGUUUGAACGAAGGAUGUUGAAUGUUGCAAAUUUGUGA